AACGAACGCUGGCGGCAUGCCUAACACAUGCAAGUCGAACGAGACCUUCGGGUCUAGUGGCGCACGGGUGCGUAACGCGUGGGAACCUGCCCUUAGGUUCGGAAUAACUCCCCGAAAGGGGUGCUAAUACCGGAUAAUGUCUUCGGACCAAAGAUUUAUCGCCUUUGGAUGGGCCCGCGUUGGAUUAGCUAGUUGGUAGGGUAAAAGCCUACCAAGGCGACGAUCCAUAGCUGGUCUGAGAGGAUGAUCAGCCACACUGGGACUGAGACACGGCCCAGACUCCUACGGGAGGCAGCAGUGGGGAAUAUUGGACAAGGGGCGAAAGCCUGAUCCAGCAAUGCCGGGUGAGUGAUGAAGGCCUGAGGGUUGUAAAGCUCUUUUACCCGGGAUGAUAAUGACAGUACCGGGAGAAUAAGCUCCGGCUAACUCCG
rnacentral:rRNA from 1 species